rnacentral:rRNA from 1 species
AAAUUGAAGAGUUUGAUCAUGGCUCAGAUUGAACGCUGGCGGCAGGCCUAACACAUGCAAGUCGAACGGUAACAGGAAGCAGCUUGCUGCUUCGCUGACGAGUGGCGGACGGGUGAGUAAUGUCAGGGAAACUGCCUGAUGGAGGGGGAUAACUACUGGAAACGGUGGCUAAUACCGCAUAACGUCGCAAGACCAAAGAGGGGGACCUUCGGGCCUCUUGCCAUCAGAUGUGCCCAGAUGGGAUUAGCUAGUUGGUGAGGUAACGGCUCACCAAGGCGACGAUCCCUAGCUGGUCUGAGAGGAUGACCAGCCACACUGGAACUGAGACACGGUCCAGACUCCUACGGGAGGCAGCAGUGGGGAAUAUUGCACAAUGGGCGCAAGCCUGAUGCAGCCAUGCCGCGUGUAUGAAGAAGGCCUUCGGGUUGUAAAGUACUUUCAGCGGGGAGGAAGGUGUUGUGGUUAAUAACCACAGCAAUUGACGUUACCCGCAGAAGAAGCACCGGCUAACUCCGUGCCAGCAGCCGCGGUAAUACGGAGGGUGCAAGCGUUAAUCGGAAUUACUGGGCGUAAAGCGCACGCAGGCGGUCUGUCAAGUCGGAUGUGAAAUCCCCGGGCUCAACCUGGGAACUGCAUUCGAAACUGGCAGGCUUGAGUCUUGUAGAGGGGGGUAGAAUUCCAGGUGUAGCGGUGAAAUGCGUAGAGAUCUGGAGGAAUACCGGUGGCGAAGGCGGCCCCCUGGACAAAGACUGACGCUCAGGUGCGAAAGCGUGGGGAGCAAACAGGAUUAGAUACCCUGGUAGUCCACGCCGUAAACGAUGUCUACUUGGAGGUUGUGCCCUUGAGGCGUGGCUUCCGGAGCUAACGCGUUAAGUAGACCGCCUGGGGAGUACGGCCGCAAGGUUAAAACUCAAAUGAAUUGACGGGGGCCCGCACAAGCGGUGGAGCAUGUGGUUUAAUUCGAUGCAACGCGAAGAACCUUACCUGGUCUUGACAUCCACAGAAGAAUCCAGAGAUGGAUUUGUGCCUUCGGGAACUGUGAGACAGGUGCUGCAUGGCUGUCGUCAGCUCGUGUUGUGAAAUGUUGGGUUAAGUCCCGCAACGAGCGCAACCCUUAUCCUUUGUUGCCAGCGGUCCGGCCGGGAACUCAAAGGAGACUGCCAGUGAUAAACUGGAGGAAGGUGGGGAUGACGUCAAGUCAUCAUGGCCCUUACGACCAGGGCUACACACGUGCUACAAUGGCGCAUACAAAGAGAAGCGACCUCGCGAGAGCAAGCGGACCUCAUAAAGUGCGUCGUAGUCCGGAUUGGAGUCUGCAACUCGACUCCAUGAAGUCGGAAUCGCUAGUAAUCGUGGAUCAGAAUGCCACGGUGAAUACGUUCCCGGGCCUUGUACACACCGCCCGUCACACCAUGGGAGUGGGUUGCAAAAGAAGUAGGUAGCUUAACCUUCGGGAGGGCGCUUACCACUUUGUGAUUCAUGACUGGGGUGAAGUCGUAACAAGGUAACCGUAGGGGAACCUGCGGUUGGAUCACCUCCUUA